GAGUGAUGCCUCUUGAAGUUGUGGGACAUAGUGCUCCUGCAAAACACUGUUUCUUCCUCUUCUAAGCUCAGGGAAACUGAAGCCACAUUAAGAAUGAAAGGGCUUAUCUUUCCAAGGUUGGACAGGGGAACCUCCCAGCCCUGACACUAUGCGUGGUGAGAGACCUGGUGACAGGGAAUGGCUUGAGGUGACUGCCAGGGCUGUGGACUGCUGGCAGGAGUCUCCCUGGCCCCUCUCCUUACCCAGAAUGGUCCGUCUCUGUCGUCAGAUCCCAGGCAGAGGAUAUGUGCCUUUGGACUCCUGAGCUGCAGUGUAAAAAAGUCCAGCUAUUCUGGGGCUGCCAAUGUGGGAGUGUUCAUGUGAAGAGGUCGCAUAGAGAUAGAGAUGACUGAAGAACCUCAGUUGUUCCAGCCCCCACUUGAGUGCUCGUAGCCCAGCUGCCAGACAUGUGAGUGAAGCAGCCUUCAGAUGACCCCAGCCUCAGUCACAGUCUGACUACAACCUCAGGAGACCCCAAGCCAGAACUUCUCAGCUG